CCUGUCUCUCUCACGGCCAGCCCCGCCGCCCGCUCGCGUCCCUCGAGGUGGAGCAGGCGGCGGAGGCAGCGAUGGCCGAGAGGGCGGCGGCGGCGGCUCCCCAGGAGGUCUCUGGGUUUCGGUGUUUCCGGCUGGCUAAGGUCUGACUCCUCCUCCCUCCACUGCCUCCCCCGCCCGCGGAGCCACCAUCUUGACCUCGCCCGCUGGCCUCUGCCGUUGCUGCUGUGGCUAGGCCCGGAGGCUGCGCCGUCAGUCAAGCGAACCGCAGAGUCCGCGCCCACUGCCUGCGUCAUAAUCCAGCGUCAUAAUCCAGCGCUAGAGACGCUCCCCAUGUCGUCAUCACCCAUGGUUGCCAUGGUUUCCGCCCACCUCCUCAGCUUACUCUAGCUUCGUGCCACCCCGUGGCGCAUGCGCUUUUCGGUAGCCGCGCUUUCCGGCGUUGGAGUUGCAGCUUCACCCUCGCAGAUUCGGCUUAGCGAGCGAGUCGGUGCUUCCGCGGAUCAAAAUUAUUAGCCGUUUUAUUAGAGCCCAUUAAACGUUGCAUAAACAUGGUUCAGAGCUGCCUGGGAGAAGAAAAGCCAAAGGAUGCCACCCUCUCGAUUUAUCCCACCCUCGGGAGUCUGAAAGCCGACGCCAGGAGAAAUCCCGCGAAGGCCGCCCGGGAUCCUGGUAGAGGCGACGCUGUGUGCGUUUAUGGAGCGCUUGCGGUGCGUGGCACUAGGCUGGGUGUGGUGGGUGCUGCCGAAAAAAGGGUUCCUCCCAUCCAUUUGCACGUCACCCUUCCCACCUCCUGCCCAGAUGGACAGAAGUGAGGACAUUCAUCGGCCGCAUUUUACUAAUGGCAAGGAGAUAGCGACUGAAGGGCAAGAACCUAGGGUUUCCUGUCUUUGAUAUUUCUCAUCUUUGAGGUAAGUACACCUGGACAGUCCCUUCCUUCCUCCUCAGGGCUCAUGCUUUCUUGCCUAUCCGUGUAAUUAAUAUGAUCUGGCUAUCUUUGUCUUUGUUCCGAAACUUCAGCUGCAAAUGAAAGUGUAAGUUAGGUCUGAGUCUGCACUAUAGACCUAGCUAUCCUAGGUUAAAGGGGAUAAAAUAGGAAUCAAGAAGCCUGGCCCGCUUGGGCUCCCAGCUCAAGUGCAUUCUGCAAUCCAGUUUAUAUUAGGCCUCCAUGUGGGUGGCUAUCCUUUAUCAAGAUCCCCCCCAGGGGGAGGAGGAUUAUUAGUCACAUUAUCAAACUCCCCUCCAACCCCUUUCUCUGCUUAGAGGUAUGUGUAAUGUGUAGUAGAAAGACCGAAUCCCCACCCAAAAGUCCUUACUGCUACUCAUGUUUUUAACCUUCUGUUCUUUACCCUACUCCCUAAUAAUGACCGCCAUCAUUUAUCUACUGCUUAAUGGAUACUAGGCACUGUGCUAAGGGUUUUAUGUUUUACUUCAAUCUUUUCAUCGGCUUUAUUUUGAUAGUUUGUUUUAUAGAGGAGGAAACAGACUUAGGUAAGUUACAAGAUGACAAGGUUACUACCUUGUUCAGUUAGUAGUCAGCAGCUAGUAUAUCCAAAGAUAGUACGAGUCAGAACUAGGAUUAUAAACUCAGGGCUACCUGAAACUCACAACUUCAGGCAUCUUUGAUUUCUUCUUUUCACCCACAGCCAAUUCUUCAACUAAAUUGUAUCCAUUCUGUUUUCACCGUCUCUUGUACUGGUCUCCUUUCUAUUGUAACUGUCAUCAUCCUAACUCAAGAUCCUUCUGUAGCUUUCCCCGGUUAUUGGAAUAUCCUUAUUACGACUGCCACCUUUUCUAAUCCAGUCUGUUUACUACUGCCGGGUUAAUUUCCCCAAACUGCAUGUCUGGGGAAUAACCUUGUGGUUAUGACAGAAUUCCCAAAGGAAAGCAAACUUGGCAAGGUGCAAAGACUAUGAAGACUUAGAACUUAAGAGUUCUAUGGAGAUCUUCAGAAAUAUAAAUUAGCUACUCAACAUAUCUGUUAUUCUGCCCUGAUUGCACUGUAAAGCAAAAGGAGAGAGGCCAUUAUGGGGAAAAAGAUCCAAAAGGACUCAUCUAAAACACAAGUUGGGUAGAGGAGAUAGGUGAGUACUAUUAUAUUAUGUUCAUGGAAAAUGAGUUCAUGGGCUUUCCUCUAAUUUUUAUUUUAAAAAUAAAUGUAAAUAUUAAAUAAAAUUUUUUAAAUGAACA
rnacentral:lncRNA from 1 species